rnacentral:rRNA from 1 species
UGGGGAAUAUUGCACAAUGGGCGAAAGCCUGAUGCAGCAACGCCGCGUGAGUGAUGAAGGCCUUCGGGUUGUAAAGCUCUGUCUUCUGGGACGAUAAUGACGGUACCUGAGGAGGAAGCCACGGCUAACUACGUGCCAGCAGCCGCGGUAAUACGUAGGUGGCAAGCGUUGUCCGGAUUUACUGGGCGUAAAGGGAGCGUAGGCGGACUUUUAAGUGAGAUGUGAAAUACCCGGGCUCAACCUGGGUGCUGCAUUUCAAACUGGAAGGCUAGAGUGCAGGAGAGGAGAGUGGAAUUCCUAGUGUAGCGGUGAAAUGCGUAGAGAUUAGGAAGAACACCAGUGGGGAAGGCGACUCUCUGGACUGUAACUGACGCUGAGGCUCGAAAGCGUGGGGAGCAAACA